AGGCUGAUCUACAAGGCAAAGCGUAUCCAGCAGCAACAGCAGAAUCGGAAACAAAAAAAAGGAGAGCUCUUUCUGUCGACUUAUGUCUGAUAAUACAUACCAGAAGCGGCAUCUUGAAAUGGCAUUAAUGGAUUCCUCCAUUAGACAACACAUGCUCAAGAUGAAAUUAUUGCAAUGGGAGAAUUUUCGUCAUCUUCGGUGGCCAGGCGAACACUGCCAUCUACAGGCUGUUAAAUUUAGACACUCCAUCUUUCAAAGCCCCAAAUUUGCAAUUGAGAACUAGAAACCACUGAAGUUGAAAAUCUGAGUGUCAAAAAUUAGCCCUGGUCGAUCAGUCUGACAAAGUGUGCUAUUUUACAAAUUGUCCAAUAUCAUGGCUCACCAACAAAAAUAUUAUAUUAAACCAUCUGCUAGUGAUGA